AAUCUAUUUGUAAACUGGAUUUAUCAGCUGAAUUUUUACUCUAUCAAUUAAGUAACUGUCCCGAAGCGAACUGAGAAUAUCAGUUUCAUUUUAAACUUUGACAAAAAUGUGGCAUAAUCAAUUAAGAGAGAUUUUCAUUGCCAUUGCCAUUGCAUCAAAUAGUUCGAUUCGCAUGGCUUAAAAAAGUGUCGAGCGCAGCAUGGCACUGUUAUUCUUAUAAAUAAAUUCGAGCUGUAAACAUCAUCGAAUUUUUUGAUGCGAAAUCAACUACGUUACUAAAAUGAAUGAGUAUUUUUUUGUACUAUCAAUAAAAACAUAUUCGAAAAGUGAUACACAAAGCAGCUAAGUAAAAUUGAUUUGAUGAAAAUAGAAAUAAAUGCAAAAAUAUGAUUUCAUUCAGUUCACGAGUUUUCUGUGUUAAAAUAGUUUAUCACAGUUGAUUGAACGUUAGUGUAAAAUUUUGACGUUUUUGCGGAAGUAUACGGUGUGAAUAACAUCAAAAGAACAAAAAUAAUAACAAAAUGUCAAUCUCAUGUGAAAUUGUGUUUGUGCGAAAUCCCACCAAAGUAUUUUACUUGGGUCAACCUUUACGUGGAUACGUUCAUUUGGCAAUGAAAAAUCAACAAGAUGUUCAUGGCAUUCAUGUUCAACUCAGUGGUGUAGCAGUCGCCAAUUGGAAAAUCGGUCGUGCUAUUCGCCGGUGUACAGAGGAUUGCUUGAAUCAUCAAACGAGUAUUAUAGGAGAAUCGCGUUUAGUUGUUCGAAAAUAUAAACUUCCAUUUCAAUUUCUGUUACCGGCACAAUUGCCAUCAUCAUUCGAAGGGGAAUUUGGUUUCAUUCGGUACAUGGUUACAGUUUUAAUAGAAAUUCCAUUCGAGCCGAGCAAAGUGCUGGAAGAAUAAGUGACAAUUCUUAGGACGAUCAACUUGAAUGACGCAGACUUACAGCGGAAAGUGUCAGUGAGUGAUGGGUUCAAUCCAUACUUCGUGUUGUCGUGGCUACCUUGGUUUCCAGUGAAAAUAGAUGCGCAUGUUGAACCGGGAACAUAUGCACCGGGAAUGUUUAUUGAUGUGGGUGUCAAUGUCACCAAUAAAAGCUUUCGGAGCAUACGGAAUUUCAUUGUGCAGCUGAUCAAGGAAGUGACAUAUUUCUCGUACGAUCACACGCGUAAGACGAAAUCGAUUUUAAUUCUGUGUGAAACCGAAAUACGUGGGUGUGGUCAAAAUCAAAAGUACCCCAUCUGUUUGGGCUGUCAAGUUAUUGUUCCGCAAACGUCGCCUUCAGAUAAUUCCAGUGUCAUUAUUAAAGUUCGUCAUUUUAUUCGGGUAACAGCGUCAAUGGGCAAGAAUUAUAAACCGAUGCUUGAGCUACCAGUUACCAUUGUUCCUAUUUCAAGUUACCAGCCAAAAAUGCUCCAAAUCUAAUGUUCAAAUUGCUUUAAGAAAUAAAGAAAAUUUCUCAUCA